UUAAGAAUCUUGCACAAUGGGGGCAACCCUGAUGCAGCGACGCCGCGUGAAUGAUGAAGGCCUUCGGGUUGUAAAGUUCAGUAAGCAGGGAAGAAUAAGCAACGGGUAAUAUUCGUUGUGAUGACGGUACCUGCCUAAAGCCCCGGCUAACUACGUGCCAGCAGCCGCGGUAAUACGUAUGGGGCAAGCGUUGUUCGGAAUUAUUGGGCGUAAAGGGCGUCUAGACGGGGGAUUAAGUUAGAUGUGAAAGCUAUGGGCUCAACCCAUAAACUGCAUCUAAGACUGGUUCUCUUGAGUCCGGGAGAGGGGAGCAGAAUUCCCAGUGUAGCGGUGAAAUGCGUAGAUAUUGGGAGGAAUACCAGUGGCGAAGGCGGCUCCCUGGACCGGUACUGACGCUGAGGCGCGAAAGCGUGGGUAGCAAACA
rnacentral:rRNA from 1 species